UUUGUAUGUUAAAAAUUUUCUCAGCUGAAUCACAUGAACUUGCCUCAUUGGUUCUUUCUUGCAGGUGAUGUUGCUGCCACUUCCAGUCGCUCCCUUGACAUAACCGAGGACAAACUUCUGAGAAAUUCUUUCAGUUAUAUUAUGGUUAAUCAUGCUCAAAGCUCAGAUUGUGAAUGACAAGGUUAAUCAACAAAUGCCAAUUCUCAAUGGUUUCUGAUGCUAAGGGACAAAGACCAACAAGGAGUUCUAGAUCAGUUGUCUUGACAGAUUUGUUGACUGUUGACAACUCUAAGUGAAAAAUUCCACAAGUCUGUUUAAACAUCAACAUGUCAUGGCAUAAAGAUCAAGCAUAAUGAACAUCGUUUACAAUUUAAGUUUCUUUGACAAAUGAGAU
rnacentral:lncRNA from 1 species